rnacentral:rRNA from 1 species
AUUGAACGCUGGCGGCAUGCCUUACACAUGCAAGUCGAACGGCAGCACGGGUGCUUGCACCUGGUGGCGAGUGGCGAACGGGUGAGUAAUACAUCGGAACGUACCUUAUCGUGGGGGAUAACGCAGCGAAAGCUGUGCUAAUACCGCAUACGCCCUGAGGGGGAAAGCGGGGGAUCGCAAGACCUCGCGCGAUUAGAGCGGCCGAUGCCUGAUUAGCUUGUUGGUGGGGUAAAAGCCCACCAAGGCGACGAUCAGUAGCUGGUCUGAGAGGACGAGCAGCCACACUGGGACUGAGAAACGGCCCAGACUCCGACGGGAGGCAGCAGUGGGGAAUUUUGGAUAAUGGGGGCAACCCUGAUCCAGCAAUGCCGCGUGAGUGAAGAAGGCCUUCGGGUUGUAAAGCUCUUUUGUCAGGGAAGAAACACCGGCUCUAACACAGUCCGGGAAUGACGGUACCUGAAGAAUAAGCACCGGCUAACUACGUGCCAGCCGCCGCCGUAA